rnacentral:rRNA from 1 species
UUUCUGCUGAGGACGAUCGGUCCGCCCUCUGGGUGAGUAUCUGGCUCGACCUUGGCAUCUUCUUGAAGAACGUAACUGCACUUGACUGUGUGGUGCGGUAUUCAAGACUUUUACUUUGAGGAAAUUAGAGUGUUUGAAGCAGGCAUAUGCCUUGAAUACAUUAGCAUGGAAUAAUGAGAUAAGACCUUUGUUCUAUUUUGUUGGUUUCUAGAGCUGAGGUAAUGAUUAAUAGGGAUAGUUGGGGGCAUUCGUAUUUAACU